rnacentral:lncRNA from 1 species
UUUUUAUGGAGUCGGAUUCACGACGUCGCGGGCGCCAUGGCCGCCAAGAACAGCACGGCUGCACACGUGGACCGACCAGCACGGCCGUGUGCGUGGAGGCAAACACGCACGCCGUUAGCUAACCGGCGGUCGUGAAUCUUGAGUCCAGAAUCGACUGUCCUUGGACGGUGAAUUUCCUGCUGAAUGAAUGCCACAUGCAGAUCUAGAUGUAUUGAGAUGUUGUCGGCAUACUCCAUUUCCUCCAGCUCCGUCGUACGUGGGCAUGCAUUUUCGAGAGGCGAGACGAUGUUCUCGCUUCAUUUGUUUUUAUGUUUUUUUUAGAACCAAGGAUGUUCUCGCUUCAUUUGUUUUUGUUUUAUUUUUAGAAUCAAGGAUGUUCUCGCUUCAUUUGUUUUUUUUUUUUUUUAGAAUCAAGGAUGUUCUCGCUUCGGGAAGAU